AGUGAACGCUGGCGGUAGGCCUAACACAUGCAAGUCGAACGGCAGCACAGUAAGAGCUUGCUCUUACGGGUGGCGAGUGGCGGAUGGGUGAGGAAUACAUCGGAAUCUACUUUUUCGUGGGGGAUAACGUAGGGAAACUUACGCUAAUACCGCAUACGACCUACGGGUGAAAGCAGGGGAUCUUCGGACCUUGCGCGAUUGAAUGAGCCGAUGUCGGAUUAGCUAGUUGGCGGGGUAAAGGCCCACCAAGGCGACGAUCCGUAGCUGGUCUGAGAGGAUGAUCCGCCACACUGGAACUGAGACACGGUCCAGACUCCUACGGGAGGCAGCAGUGGGGAAUAUUGGGCAAUGGGCGCAAGCCUGAUCCAGCCAUACCGCGUGGGUGAAGAAGGCCUUCGGGUUGUAAAGCCCUUUUGUUGGGAAAGAAAAGCAGCAGGUUAAUACCCCGCUGUUCUGACGGUACCCAAAGAAUAAGCACCGGCUAACUUCGUG
rnacentral:rRNA from 1 species